UACGUAGAAGACUAGUGUUAGUCAUCUUUAUUAGGUUUAAAGGGUACCUAGACGGUAAAUUAAACUCUAAAUGAGUACUUUUUUACUAGAGUUUUAUGUGAAAAGGAAGAAUUUCUGGAGUAGGGAUGAAAUACUUUGAUACCAGAAGGACUGGUAACGGCGAAGGCAUCCUUCUAUGUAAAAACUGACGUUGAGGGACGAAGGCUUGGGUAGCAAUAAGG
rnacentral:rRNA from 1 species